GGGGGGGGGUUGGAAGGGACCUUGAAGAUGGUCAUGGGAUGGUUGGGUUGGAAGGGACCUGGAAGGUCAUCAUAGAAAAGGAUGGGUUGAGAAGGUCCUGAAAGAUCACAGAGCCAUGAGAUGGUUGGGUUGGAAGGGACGUUGAAGGUCAUCAUUCGGGGUGGGGAAUCAGAAAUUGGGGGGGGGUUGGAAGGGAGCUUGAAGAUGGUCAUGGGAUGGUUGGGUUGGAAGGGACCUGGAAGGUCAUCAUAGAAAAGGAUGGGUUGAGAAGGUCCUGAAAGAUCACAGAGCCAUGAGAUGGUUGUGUUGGAAGGGACGUUGAAGGUCAUCAUUCGGGGUGGGGAAUCAGAAACUGGGGGGGGGUUGGAAGGGACCUUGAAGAUGGUCAUGGGAUGGUUGGGUUGGAAGGGACCUGGAAGGUCAUCAUAGAAAGGGGUGGGUUGAGAGGGUCCUGAAAGAUCAUAGAGCCGUGAGAUGGUGGGGUUGGAAGGGAGCUUGAAGAUGGUAGAGCUGUGAGAUGGUUGGGUUGGAAGGGACCUGGAAGGUCAUCAUAGAAAGAAAUGGGUUGAGAAGGUCCUGAAAGAUCAUAGAGCCAUGAGAUGGUUGGGUUGGAAGGGACCUUGAAGCUGGUAGAGCCAUGGGAUGGUUGCCUUGGAAGGGUCCUUGAAGGUCAUCAUAGAAAAGGUUGGAUUGAGAAGGUCCUGAAAGAUCAUAGAGCCGUGGGAUGGUUGGAUUGGAAGGGACCUGGAAGGUCAUCAUAGAAAGAGAUGGGUUGAGAAGGUCCUGAAAGAUCAUAGAGCCAUGAGAUGGUUGGGUUGGAAGGGACCUGGAAGGUCAUCAUAGAAAGGGUUGAGUUGAGAAGGUCCUGAAAGAUCAUAAAGCCAUGAGAUGGUGGGGUUGGAAGGGACCUUGAAGCUGGUAGAGCCAUGGGAUGGUUGCCUUGGAAGGGUCCUUGAAGGUCAUCAUAGAAAAGGUUGGAUUGAGAAGGUCCUGAAAGAUCAUAGAGCCAUGGGAUGGUUGGAUUGGAAGGGACCUGGAAGGUCAUCAUAGAAAGAGAUGGGUUGAGAAGGUCCUGAAAGAUCAUAGAGCCAUGAGAUGCUUGGGUUGGAAGGGACCUGGAAGGUCAUCAUAGAAAGGGUUGAGUUGAGAAGGUCCUGAAAGAUCAUAAAGCCAUGAGAUGGUUGGGUUGGAAGAGACCUUGAAGAUGGUAGAGCCAUGGGAUGGUUGGGUUGGAAGGGACCUGGAAGGUCAUCAUAGAAAGGGUUGGGUUGAGAAGGUCCUGAAAGAUCAUAGAGCCAUGAGAUGGUGGGGUUGGAAGGGACCUGGAAGGUCAUCAUAGAAAGGGGUGGGUUGUGAAGGUCCUGAAAGAUCAUAAAGCCAUGAGAUGGUUGGGUUGGAAGGGACCUUAAAGAUCAUCAUUCGGGGUGGGGAAUCAGAAAAUGGGUGAGGUUGGAAGGGACCUUGAAGAUGGUCAUGGGAUGGUUGGGUUGGAAGAGACCUGGAAGGUCAUCAUAGAAAGGGGUGGGUUGAGAAGGUCCUGAAAGAUCAUAGAGCCAUGAGAUGGUUGGGUUGGAAGGGACCUGGAAGGUCAUCAU